UCUCUGGUGGUCCAGUGGUUAAGACUCUGCACUCUUAAUGCAGGGGGCCUGUGUUCAAUCCCUGGUCAGGGAA